UACGUAGGGUGCAAGCGUUAAUCGGAAUUACUGGGCGUAAAGCGUGCGCAGGCGGCUUUGCAAGACAGAUGUGAAAUCCCCGGGCUUAACCUGGGAACUGCAUUUGUGACUGCAUGGCUGGAGUGCGGCAGAGGGGGAUGGAAUUCCGCGUGUAGCAGUGAAAUGCGUAGAUAUGCGGAGGAACACCGAUGGCGAAGGCAAUCCCCUGGGCCAAUACUGACGCUCAGGCACGAAAGCGUGGGGAGCAAACAGG
rnacentral:rRNA from 1 species